AUUGAACGCUGGCGGCAGGCUUAACACAUGCAAGUCGAACGAGUGGCGGACGGGCGAGUAAUGCAUGAGAAACUAGCUUAUGGAGGGGGAUAACUACGGGAAAAUGUAGCUAAUACCGCGUACCAUAGGAUGAGCCCAAGUUGGAUUAGGUAGUUGGUGAGGUAAAGGCUCACCAAGACGACGAUCGCUAGCUGGUCUGAGAGGAUGACCAGCCACCCUGGGACUGAUGCACGGCCCAGCCUCCUACGCGAGGCAGCGGUGUGGAAUAUUGCGCAAUGGGGGCAACCUGACGCAGCCAUGCCGCGUGAAUGAAGAAGGCCUUCGGGUUGUAAUGUUCUUUCGGUAGCGAGGCGUUAACUACAGAAGAAGCACCGGCUAACUCCGUGCCAGCAGCCGCGGUAAUUC
rnacentral:rRNA from 1 species